CGCCGACCAUGCGAUCGGCAAGUCCUAGGCGCUGAGGUUUUACCCACAGUGCCACCCGCGUCCCCUUUAAAGUGCUAAAUCAGAGCAAAUGUGUAUCUGGAGAAAACUCGAGUGAUGUUUGCUGUCAUUCAGUGGUAAAGCAAAAGUUUUCCCAAGGCCAAUAGCAGCAGGGAAAGCACAAGUCUGGCUGAGCCCUCAUAUUAAAAUCUUCUAGUCCACAAGCCUUUCCUACAGGCCUUUCUGUCUCUGCCUCUUUUUCUCUCUCUGGCCUUGUUCAAAUGGAAUAGGAAACCAUCGUUUCUCACUCCACAGGGAGUCUCAGGCUCUUGGCCCUCAUCUCUUCUCCCCUCCUGCAGCCAGGAGAGGAGAUCCAUAGUUCCAAUAUAGGCUUUGUUAAAUCAUUAUGUUUUAACAGAUGUACAAAACAGGUACAAAAAUUAAUAGCGUGAAGUGCAGUUCCAGCACCUCUCAGCAUUUUUUACUGAUCGCUGCUCGGAGUAAACAAGACGGGGCCAAUGUAGCAUGUGAUCAGGAACCAAAGGACUGCUGCUUGUGGCAAGGAGGUGAACGGGGGGGGGGGUAAGUGGAGAGCCUUCAGUCCUCUCACCACCAUCUACAGCUACCCCCUUUGUCCUGCUAACUAGCACCUCGUGAGCCUCUUACCAUUUGGCAAAUCAGCCCCAGCAGCUGAGAGCAGCAGCAGUAGUGUUAUCUCGGCACCUGCAGCCAAUCUUCAUCUGGCGGCAGCACCAGCUACAAAGCAUAGACAGAGCCACUGCUACAAUUGUUUUAACUAUUUCUUCAGAUGAAGAGCUGCUUGUAAAAUUCUGAAGGCUGAAAAACAACACUGAGGACCACUUGAACGAACUGUGAAUUAUACUGAAACAGAAUUGGUUACUUUCUCAUACAGUCAUAGAAUUGUAGAGUUGGAAGGGACCGAAAGAGGCAUCUAGUCCAACCCUCUCCAAUGCAGGACUCAUUUGGAAGGGGUGAACUAGAGUUGGAACAAAUUCUUUUUUGGAAGUGGAGACCUGGAACUGGAACUAAUUCCUUUUAAAAAUGAACUUUCCAAGCACUGUUCCUGAUAAAACUGUAUAUUCUUUAUGCAUUUAAGCCACCUUGAGAAGGCUGUAUUCAUGAAA